rnacentral:lncRNA from 1 species
AAAACGUUCUCUUAUUUCAGACUUGAUAGGAGUUUAAUUUUCCAUCAAUGAGUGCAUCACUGGCUACAACACAAGACUUAACAUUUUCAAUCCAUUGACUUUAUACCAGGUAAAAGACUGAAAUACCGUUUCAAACCCUAGGAUCUCAUUAGCAGAAAUAUCUUCGAUCUCGCAUAUUCUGCUCUGGGCUCUCUAAGGUAAAUCGUUAUCACAUGCUGCUUUCUCCUUGUGUUCUGUUUUAGCUGCUGCUCUGGUUGUGUAUGAUGUUGGCUAUUCACAAGCCUGCAAUCUGUGAUUAGCAACAGAACAGUAACAGGGGCAAAGAAGGAAAGAAAAAUACUGCACAAUGCUUUUGAGAUGGAAGGCUUUUAUUCACUGAAUUGAAAGUGAAAGAGAUACAAAAUAACGUUACAAUGCCUGAGGUUAUAAAGGAAAACAAAGCGUGAAAACAGGAAACUAAUUCCACUACUCUUGAGACUCGGACUAACAAUGACCAAGUCUCACUUAUUCAAAUGCAGAAAAUUAAACGUGCUAAUAAUUCUAAAUUACUACUACAUUCUCCCAUGUAAUUUAGAAUUUUCAUACCUUCUCCACGCCAAUUGAGCUUCUCAUCUCUUCAAACAUCAGUCUUCCUAAUGCUUUUGUCAAAAUGUCAGCUUUCUGUGCCCUGCUGCAUACAUGUUUGACUGUGAUCUCACCAUUUUCAAUGCACUCACGAAUGAAAUGAAAACGGAUGUCUAUAUGUUUGCUUCUCCCAUGAAAAACAGGGUUCUUCAUCAAUUCGAGUGAAGACCUGUUAUCAACCUUCAUCUCUACUGGGGGUACUUGUUGUCCUGUGAUUUCACUCACCAAUCUUCUUAGCCAAAUCCCUUGGCAAGCUGCCAUGGUAGCUGCCAUAAACUCUGCUUCACAGGAAGAGAGUGCAACACAUCUUUGCUUUUGAGAUGCCCAAGUUAUCAAAUUUCCAUUGAUGUAGUAUGCCAUGCCACAUGUACUCUUCCUAUCAUUAACAUCUUUUGCCAAAUCACUAUCUGUGUAACCAGUUAAGCUGACCCUUUUAUCUCCUCUUGAAUACUUCAGACCAUGGCUCAGGGUACCCUUCACAUACCUCAGUAUACCCUUUACAGCUUGGAGAUGUUUGACAUUUGGCUUUUCCAUGAAUCUACUUACAAUACCCACAGCAAAUGUAAUGUCAGGACGGGUAUGGGUCAAGUACCUUAGGCCACCAACAAGACUUCUGUACUCUGUGGGAUUUACCAGCUCACAUCCAUCUUCUUCUUUGAGCAAUUUCAGCUUGUGCUCCAUUGGUGUUUUUGCAGGAUUGCAGUCUUGCAUACCCGUUUUGGCUAACAGAAUCUUGGCAUAAGACUCUUGCUUCAAUGUGAUCCCUUCACCUUUCUGGUUCACCUCUAUUCCCAAAUAGUAGGUCAAAAACCCCAAAUCGCUCAUCUCAAAUUGGUCACUCAUAUCCUUUUUGAAUCUCUGAAUAUCUUCAUGAUUGCUCCCCGUUACUAGCAGAUCGUCUACAUACACUCCUAUAAUCAGAGUGUCUCCCUUCAUCUUCUUUGUGUAGACAGAGUAUUCAUGGGCACACCUGGUAAAACCUAGUUUCUUCAAGUGAUGAUCCAGACACGAGUUCCAUGCCCUCGGGGCUUGUUUGAGUCCGUAAAGGGCUUUGGAGAGUUUGUAAACCUUUUGAGGUUCACCCUUCUUCUGAUAGCCCUCUGGUUGAGAGACGUAUACUUCCUCUUUUAACUCUCCAUUCAAAAAUGCCGAUUUUACGUCUAGAUGGUGUACCUUCCACCCAUUUGAGCCGGCAAGUGCUAGAAUUAACCGAAUUGUAUCGAUUCUUGCCACUGGUGCGUAUACUUCGCUGUAAUCGAUUCCAUGUUGUUGAACAUAUCCUUUCGCGACAAUUCUAGAUUUGUGUUUGACUAUAUUGCCUUCUGGAUCCCGUUUGAGCUUGAACACCCACUUUAAGCCAAUCGCCUUUCGAUUUUUCGGUAAAUCAACUAACUUCCACGUAUUGUUUUUCUCAAUCGAGCUUAACUCAGCGUUCAUAGCCUCUCGCCACUCCAAUUUCUUGCUAGCUUCGUUGUAAGAGGUGGGUUCCUCAUUACUUUGCAUCAUGAGAAGUUCUUCGACUGGGAUGUGUACUUCUUCUGUGUUCUCGUAUAAAUCAGACAGCAAUCUAUAUCUUUUAGGAGCGCCACCACCGAUAGAAGAUGAGGUUGUACUCCCGAUCGAUGAAUUUGGUGAAGUGUUUGUCGAAUUUGGGAAAUUUGGGAUAACUGGUGAGUUUAUAGGGGUAUUCAUCGGGCUUAAAUUUGGGUGACCCGACGAACUUGUCUCUUCACUGCUAGACCCGUUUUGUGGUGACCCGUAUUCAAAUUCACCCAAAUUCGGAUCCCAAUUUUCUUCAUCCUCUUGAAAUUCUUCAGUGAGAUCAAAUCCAUCAACUGUGAAGCUGAUACCAGAAUGUGCUCUUUCUCUUCCUCCUUCAUUCCAAUUCCAUCCACGAUCCUCUUCGAACACCACAUCACGACUUAUAUAGAUUUUCCCGGUUUCCGGAUUCAAUAAUCUGUACGCCUUUGAUCCUUUUUCAACUCCAAGAUGGACAAGUCGCAUGCUUCUGUCUUCCAACUUUUUUAAAUGGUUCUUUGCAAUCUUCAUAUGAGCCAAGCAACCAAACACUCUGAGAUGAUCAAUGUUUGGUUUUCUUCCUGUCCACAUUUCGAAUGGAGUUGAAUCCUUUAACGCCUUGGUGUGUGCUCUGUUUAAUACAUAAACAGAGUGUGAAACUGCUUCACCCCAUAACUCGUCUGGCAUCUUCAAUGUCUUCAAGUUGCAUCUCACCAUUUCAAGAACAGUUCGAUUUCUUCUUUCUACCACCCCGUUUUGCUGGGGUGAGUACGGAGUCGUGUAGUGCCUUGUUAAACCAGUUUCUUUGCAAUACCUAGUGAAUUCGUUUGACAAGAACUCACCACCCCGAUCCGUUCUGAAAACUUUGAUUUUCUCCCCUGUUUCAGUUUCCACCAUGUUUCUAAACACCUUGAACAUCUCUAGGGCCUCGUCCUUCGUCUUCAUGAGAUAGACCCACAUCACCCUGCUGAAGUCAUCUACAAUCAGCAUAAAGUAUCUAUUUCCUGAUGGUGUGGGUGGAGACACUGGCCCACAUAGAUCUCCAUGAAUGAGUUCAAGUCUUUUCUUUGCUCUAAAUGACGCAUGUAGUGGAAACGGGUUCCUUGUCUGUUUUCCCAGUAAGCAACCUUCGCAUGGUUGGAAGGGAAUGUUGAUUUUUGGGAGCCCAACGAUCAGAUUUUUCUCUUCCAUUUGCUUCAUUGAAUUGAAGUUGAUGUGGCCCAACCGUUUGUGCCAUAGCCAUAACAGGUCAUCAACUUCUACAGAGAGACACACACCAGCAAACUCUUCAAGCUCGAUCUUAUAGAGUCUAUUUGCUGAUCGUUGAACCUUCAUUAACAGUUUCUCAAAUGAAUCAUAGACCCAUAGAAACGAGCCCUUCAUUUUGAUUUCAUCUCCACCUUCUGCUAAUUGCCCUAAACUGAUGAUGUUACUACAUAAAUCUGGAAUGUAGUAGACCUCAUCAAGUUUACGUUGACUGCCAUCCUUACAUUUGAACACAAUUGAGCCUUUACCCUCAAUUCUGACUCGUGAUUCAUUACCAAACUUCACAUAACCACGAAUUGAUUCAUCUAAAUUCCUAAAUUUUGACUUAUCGCCUGUCAUGUGAUUGCUAGCACCUGUAUCUAAAUACCAAAUACGAGAGGGUCUUCGAGUAUUACCAUUUGAUUGCAGUUGUGGGCUCAGAUUUUCUUCAUUCAGAAAUACUCUUUUUUCUUCUCCGAACUCCAUUAGUAACAGGGCUGGCUCAUCAUCGUGUUGUUCUUGAAUCAGGUUGAUUUCAUGAUUCCGUUCCUUUCGAGGAUUCUUACACUCUGCUGCGUAGUGACCGUACUCCUGACAAUUGUAACAUUGUAUGUCACUCUUGUCGCGACUGCUUGAGGCAUUUGAAUUACCUUCCUUCUGUUGAUUUGAGCCGCCUUUGCCUCGACCACCCCGGCCACCGCCGUUUCUUCCUCUACCUCUACCGCGACCCCCACGCGACCCAUUCGAGCCACCUCGAUUCCACUUUUGUUGUUUCGAGUCUCCCUCGGCCUUUUUCUUGUAUUUCUCAGUCCACUCUUUGUGGGUUAACAACAACUUUCGAUCGUCACCAUCCCCGCGACCUUUCAUUCUUUCUUCAUAUGCCUUAAGCCUACCAACUACUUCCUCGACGGACAUAGAUUCCAAAUCUCCAAAUUGCUCAAGUGUUGAGGCAAUCUGGACGAAUUUGGAUGAUACAGCUCUAAGUAAUUUCUUCACUACCUGAGCUUCUUCAAUCUUAUCUCCCAGGGUGCGUAGAGUACUCACAGUGUUGAUCACUUUCCCAGUGAAAUCAUCAACGCAUUCCGUCUCUUUCAUGCUUAACGCUUCAAGUUCAGCCUUCAACGUCUGAAUUCUGGCCACCUUCACUCUAUCGGCCCCUACAAACAUAACUUUGAGAGCAUCCCAAGCUUCCUUGGCAGUCUUCUUCUCCGCCAAUGUCAUGAGCAGGUCCUCCGGUAUUCCCUGAUAAAUGGCAGCCAAUGCCAUGUUAUCCUUCUUUGUUUCAACGAGGGUGUUGGUUGUUCUGGGUUCUACAGCAUCCCAAACACCUUGGGCCAACAUGAAGACCCUCAUCUUAAUUGCCCAUGCACUGUAAUUGCUUCUAGUCAACAUCGGAUAGUGUAGGGUGAUUUGCCCAUCUUUGUCACCACUCCCAUUGCUGCCAAUGCCUGCCAUUUCUUCUGUUCUAGGCUGAUAUUUGGGCAUGUACCAGGUUAGCUCUGAUACCAAAUGUUGGCUAUUCACAAGCCUGCAAUCUGUGAUUAGCAACAGAACAGUAACAGGGGCAAAGAAGGAAAGAAAAAUACUGCACAAUGCUUUUGAGAUGGAAGGCUUUUAUUCACUGAAUUGAAAGUGAAAGAGAUACAAAAUAACGUUACAAUGCCUGAGGUUAUAAAGGAAAACAAAGCGUGAAAACAGGAAACUAAUUCCACUACUCUUGAGACUCGGACUAACAAUGACCAAGUCUCACUUAUUCAAAUGCAGAAAAUUAAACGUGCUAAUAAUUCUAAAUUACUACUACAUAUGACUGCUGAACUGUGCUGCUCUAUGUGUUUCUUUGUUUUGGUAGCUGCUCUUUGUUCUGUGUUUUGCUAAUGCCAUCAUUACUGUUUCUGCUAAUAGUACAACUGUCCAAAAUAUGUUCAACUUUUACUAUGGAUGCAUUGAUCAUUAGGUUUCUUAACCUUUGGUUCUAACAUUAAAAAUAAUGGAAUUCAUAUCGUAUUUAUAAUAAGUAGUUUGAACACUGUUGACGUGCCAUUGACUACAUGUCAGAUCAAUCAACUUGGAAUGCUUUUAUCUUGGACCUUGACAAAGUUGCAGAUUAAACUACUUUUGCUGCUAAUCCACUUCACUACAAAGGUCAUAGGCUAU